GGGUGAGGAGAGUAUCCUAAGGCCAGCGAGAGAACGGUUGUUAAGGAACUCGGCAAAAUGACCCCGUAACUUAGGGAUAAGGGGUGCAACCAUCAGGUGGCCGCAGAGAAUAGGCCCAAGCGACUGUUUACCAAAAACAUAGGUUUCUGCUAAGUCGAAAGACGAUGUAUAGGAGCUGACGCCUGCCCGGUGCUGGAAGGUUAAGGGGAUCUGUUAGAGCAAUCGAAGCAGUGAACUUAAGCCCCAGUAAACGGCGGCCGUAACUAUAACGGUCCUAAGGUAGCGAAAUUCCUUGUCGGGUAAGUUCCGACCCGCACGAAAGGCG
rnacentral:rRNA from 1 species